UACAGUCAAUUCUCCUAAGGAAAAAGGGUGAAAACAAUCACUUUACCAUACAUUAAUAAUAGAGCCUACGUCUAAUAUAUUCUUGUACAUUUAUGAACCUUGAAGACUAGAAGAAAAGCACCUAGGCCCAACAAGAUUAAGUGAAUAUUGUGGUCAUUUUAUUUCUAUCUUUCCA
rnacentral:ncRNA from 1 species